UGCAAGCUUGCAAGCCUUCAGUCCUUUACAAUAUUCUGCAUGUUGUGGACUUAGAAACUUUUCUACUCUGAUAUGUUACUUGUGAGAUGUGAAAAUCUUCUAAGUCACAGCAGCAUGGAUUUUCUAUUUCGAAAUCUGUAACUUUUAGUAUUUCAUAUCAGAUUAUCUAAAGGUGAAUAUGAGUUUCUUCAGAGUAAAAACACCUCUUUUUGAAUCAAAAUUGAAUGAUGAUUUUAGUAAUCAAUCAUUACUGUUUAAAUUGCAAUUCAUGUUUGUAAAACUUCAAUAAUAAUCAUGACAUUCAUAUCUUUUCAAAUUUAGAUAUCCAACCAAUUUAUAAUAAUGCUUAAAGUAUUGCUUCAUUUAUAUAUUUUACACAUGUAUUUAUAAAAUCCUCUUUAUUAAAGUUAUCAGUGAAUAUAUUAUGAUAUAUUUUUGUUAGUAUAAUCAGUUGUUUCUAGGAGUGAUAUUCAUUCUAAGGGUAACCUGCAAAUUAUGUGAAUUGAAUUUCCAUCAGUGCAAAUUUCAGCAAAAUAUAUGUUGAAGCCUUAUUAUCAAAAACCUUUCCAACACCAAUAUGUGUAAACAAACAAAAGGAGAGCAUAUGUUAUCAGUAGACUGGCUCAGCUUGACCAAGGUAAUAUGAUACCAAUUCAAGCUGAUGAGUACAGGAAGUCCAUGCCAGUCAGACUCCAGACACCAUGGGGCCAACCCUGGGGUAUAAGGUUAAUUUCUAACUGACUGUAUUGUGACUUAUUUGAUGAUUUAUUUCAGUAAUAAAUACAUAAAAUGAAACAAUAUUGUAAAAGUAACUUCAAUGCAAUUUUAUAGUAUUUUAAAAAGCAUCUGUUGAACUCACAAAUCUUCAUUUUUAUUAAGUCUGUAUGAAUGAAAAACCUUUCCUGUGCCCCAACUUAAGAUUGACCAAUGUAAAACAAGGUCCCCACUUUGAAUUGAGUUUCCUGUGGCUGCAUGUGGACAUUUUGCAUCUCUGUGAAUCAGUAUAAAUUGUCCUAUCAAUCACUUCUGGAAAUAGAAUCAACUUCUGUCAUUCUGGACAUGGUAAGGAUAUGUGCAACCUAUCUACAUCUGCAUGUUGAAAGUUCUGUAAAUAAGUUACAUAAACAAACAGAAGAUGGACUCAGUGAAGUGAUCCAGAUGAAGAUUUCCAAGGGUCAACAAUAAAUGCACAAAUGCAAAAAGAUACAGUGAGCUCUGAAGUGGACGGAAAUGACAGGAAGAGUUAAAAGAUAUUGUAACUGUACU